CCAGACUCCUACGGGAGGCAGCAGUGAGGAAUAUUGGUCAAUGGGCGAGAGCCUGAACCAGCCAAGUCGCGUGAGGGAAGACGGUCCUAUGGAUUGUAAACCUCUUUUGCCGGGGAGCAAAAAGCGGUACGUGUACCGCAUCGAGAGUACCCGGAGAAAAAGCAUCGGCUAACUCCGUGCCAGCAGCCGCGGUAAUACGGAGGAUGCGAGCGUUAUCCGGAUUUAUUGGGUUUAAAGGGUGCGUAGGCGGACUGGAAAGUCAGCGGUAAAAUCGAGAGGCUCAACCUCUUUCCGCCGUUGAAACUGUCGGUCUUGAGUGGGCGAGAAGUAUGCGGAAUGCGUGGUGUAGCGGUGAAAUGCAUAGAUAUCACGCAGAACUCCGAUUGCGAAGGCAGCAUACCGGCGCCCGACUGACGCUGAGGCACGAAAGCGUGGGUAUCGAACAGGAUUAGAUACCCGUGUA
rnacentral:rRNA from 1 species